rnacentral:rRNA from 1 species
CAGUAGCCGCGGUAAUACGUAGGGUGCAAGCGUUAAUCGGAAUUACUGGGCGUAAAGCGUGCGCAGGCGGUUUGUUAAGACAGAUGUGAAAUCCCCGGGCUCAACCUGGGAACUGCAUUUGUGACUGGCAAGCUAGAGUGUGGCAGAGGGGGGUGGAAUUCCGCGUGUAGCAGUGAAAUGCGUAGAUAUGCGGAGGAACACCGAUGGCGAAGGCAGCCCCCUGGGCCAACACUGACGCUCAUGCACGAAAGCGUGGGGAGCAAACAGGAUUAGAUACCCCCGUAGUCCCUGUCUCUUAUAC